UGCAUCGAACUGCUUCCCUCACUUUCGAUCAGUUGUUGCUCCGCGAGCUAAACGUCGGAUGCGAGAUGUGGGUUCCUGUGUUGCAUACCUAUUGCGACGGAAAUGUGUGCCUUCGGUAGUCCCUUCCAUCACGGCGUCCUCUUGGAUGCUCGGUUGGACCGGAUAGUGGGGCUCGUGUUCCACGAACGUCGUCUCAUUCGAUCGUUCGGRCGGACCACGAGUGCCUACUCGUUCUCUCGGAUGCGGAACUCUCGUAAUGGGAGUGGGGUCAUUGGCCCUUGUUCCCUAAUCGUUAAGCGUUUAUCGCUUCACCUGAAUGACGAUCCUGCCUUGUCCUUGAUCGCGCGAAGCCCUCGGGCAUCGCGGCGGAUCAUGCUCGGCGGACGUCGUGAAGGAAUGC
rnacentral:misc_RNA from 1 species